CAGGUGGGAACACCCGAUGGCGAAGGCAGAUCUUCUGGGCCGUAACUGACGCUGAGGAGCGAAAGGGUGGGGAGCAAACAGGCUUAGAUAUCCCUGGUAGUCCACCCCGUAAACGCUGGGAACUAGUUGUGGGGUCCAUUCCUCGGAUUCCGUGACGCAGCUAACGCAUUAAGUUCCCCGCCUGGGGAGUACGGCCGCAAGGCUAAAACUCAAAGGAAUUGACGGGGACCCGCACAAGCGGCGGAGCAUGCGGAUUAAUUCGAUGCAACGCGAAGAACCUUACCAAGGCUUGACAUAUACGAGAACGGGCCAGAAAUGGUCAACUCUUUGGACACUCGUAAACAGGUGGUGCAUGGUUGUCGUCAGCUCGUGUCGUGAGAAGUUGGGUUAAGUCCCGCAACGAGCGCAACCCUCGUUCUAUGUUGCCAGCACGUAAUGGUGGGAACUCAUGGGAUACUGCCGGGGUCAACUCGGAGGAAGGUGGGGAUGACGUCAAAUCAUCAUGCCCCUUAUGUCUUGGGCUUCACGCAUGCUACAAUGGCCGGUACAAAGGGGUGCAAUACCGUGAGGUGGAGCGAAUCCCAAAAAACCGGUCCCAGUUUGGAUUGAGGUCUGCAACUCGACCUCACGAAGUCGGAGUCGCUAGUAAUCGCAGAUCAGCAACGCUGCGGGGAAUAUGUUUCCCGGGUCUUGUACACACCGCCCGUCAAGUCAUGAAAGUCGGUAACACCCGAAAACCGGUGGCCUAAACCCUUGUGGAGGGAGCCGUACGCAACGGGUGGGAUCGGUAAUCUGGGGCGAAGUUUAUUUAAAAGU
rnacentral:rRNA from 1 species